rnacentral:rRNA from 1 species
CCUACGGGAGGCUGCAGUGGGGAAUAUUGGACAAUGGGCGAAAGCCUGAUCCAGCCAUGCCGCGUGUGUGAAGAAGGCCUUCGGGUUGUAAAGCACUUUCAGUGGGGAAGAAAGCCUUGGGGCUAAUACCCUCGAGGAAGGACAUCACCCACAGAAGAAGCACCGGCUAACUCCGUGCCAGCAGCCGCGGUAAUACGGAGGGUGCGAGCGUUAAUCGGAAUUACUGGGCGUAAAGCGCGCGUAGGCGGUCUGAUAAGCCGGUUGUGAAAGCCCCGGGCUCAACCUGGGAACGGCAUCCGGAACUGUCAGGCUAGAGUGCAGGAGAGGAAGGUAGAAUUCCCGGUGUAGCGGUGAAAUGCGUAGAGAUCGGGAGGAAUACCAGUGGCGAAGGCGGCCUUCUGGACUGACACUGACACUGAGGUGCGAAAGCGUGGGUAGCAAACAGGAUUAGAUACCUGGUAGUC